rnacentral:rRNA from 1 species
GACGAACGCUGGCGGCGUGCUUAACACAUGCAAGUCGAACGGUAAGGCCCCAGCUUGCUGGGGUACACGAGUGGCGAACGGGUGAGUAACACGUGGGUGACCUGCCCCGCACUUCGGGAUAACCCUGGGAAACUGGGGCUAAUACCGGAUAGGACCUCACCCUGCGUGGGGGGGGGAAAGUUUUUCGGUGUGGGAUGGACGCGCGGCCUAUCAGCUUGUUGGUGGGGUAAUGGCCUACCAAGGCGGCGACGGGUAGCCGGCCUGAGAGGGUGGACGGCCACAUUGGGACUGAGACACGGCCCAGACUCCUACGGGAGGCAGCAGUGGGGAAUAUUGCACAAUGGGCGGAAGCCUGAUGCAGCGACGCCGCGUGGGGGAUGACGGCCUUCGGGUUGUAAACUCCUUUCACCAUUGACGAAGGGUGUCUGACGGUAGUUGGUGAAGAAGCACCGGCUAACUACGUG